GCAACAGCUCAAAUUUGAAAUCUGGCCCUCGGGUCCGAGUUGUAAUUUGGAGAGGAUGCUUCUGGCGCGGCGCCGUCCGAGUUCCUUGGAACAGGACGCCAUAGAGGGUGAGAGCCCCGUACGGGCGGCCGCCUAGCCUUUGUGAAGCUCCUUCGACGAGUCGAGUAGUUUGGGAAUGCUGCUCAAAAUGGGAGGUAAAUUUCUUCUAAAGCUAAAUACCGGCCAGAGACCGAUAGCGCACAA
rnacentral:rRNA from 2 species